rnacentral:rRNA from 1 species
UACGUAGGGGGCAAGCGUUGUCCGGAAUCAUUGGGCGUAAAGAGCGUGUAGGCGGCCCGAUAAGUCCGCCGUGAAAGUCCAGGGCUCAACCCUGGAAUGCCGGUGGAAACUGCCGGACUAGAGUUCGGAAGAGGCGAGUGGAAUUCCCGGUGUAGCGGUGAAAUGCGCAGAUAUCGGGAGGAACACCGAUGGCGAAGGCAAUCCCCUGGGCCUGCACUGACGCUCAUGCACGAAAGCGUGGGGAGCAAACAGG